GGGUGGAGAGAGAGAGGAAGCGACAGGGGUGGAGAGAGAGAGGAAGAGACAGGGGAAGAGACAGGGAUGGAGAGAGAGAGAGAGAGGAAGAGACAGGGAUGGAGAGAGAGAGAGAGAGGAAGAGACAGGGAUGGAGAGAGAGAGAGGAAGAGACAGGGAUGGAGAGAGAGAGGAAGAGACAGCGGUGGAGAGAGCGAGAGAGGAAGAGACAGGGGUGGACAGAGCGAGAGAGAGAGACGGGUGGAGAGAGCGAGAGAGGAAGAGAAAGGGGUGGAGAGAGCGAGAGAGGAAGAGACAGGGGUGGAGAGAGCGAGAGAGGAAGAGACAGGGGUGGAGAGAGCGAGAGAGGAAGAGA
ensembl:lncRNA